GUCGUCCAUAGAAUAGAUAAUAGACAUAGAAAUAGAAGAUAAAGCAGGUUAUCAUAGAUAUAAUUGUUCGCAUUGCAUAGAGUGUAAUUAAGUCGGUACAAUUUUUAUUUGCAUUUUGAGAAAAAAGAACGCUGAAACAAAAAGUAUAGUGAUUUAAAACGUUUGCCCUAUUUAAAACAUAAAGCAAUACAUAUUUGUAUUUAUAACAUACUACACAUUUAUCUACGGCUACGUAUCUAUGAUGCUUGAUAUCUGUGGGUGUUACCACUAAAAUCAACCCAUUGUAUAUCUAUUAUCUAUGAAUCAACCAAAAUGUCCGAUCUAUGAUGGUCGUGAAUGGUCGACUAACUGAUCUUUGUUUCUUUGCUGUAUUUAGUGAGAAAUUAUUUGAAAGUUGUUUUGAUUAAGCAUUAAAGUUCAGUUGGAUUGUACUGAAAAAACAAGUUUCUACAAUGGUAUCACCUUUCCUGGGCUAUGUGGCUAUAUUCUUCAUUUCCAACAAGUGAAUGGAAACAAGUGGGGAUUUAUUUAAAUUCUACUAAAACAAUAAAUUUUCUGCUAUAGUUUUCUUCAUGAAUUUGGUUUGCUUUUCACAUCUGCAAGCUUUGGAACAUUACAAUCUACAGUUAAUUAAGAUCGACAGUGGAGAAGACAAAUGGGACCCAUAGUUAAAAUGGUUCUUUGUCAUGUGUGCUCUACCUAAUAGAAUAAAUUCUUUAAAUUCGUUUUAUUCAAAUUAAUUUUUUAUUUUGCAUGUUUUUGUGGUUUAUUCUAAUUAAUUUUUA